rnacentral:lncRNA from 1 species
GUUUGCUGGUUUGGGCUGCCUCCUUUUAUAGGUGAGUAAUCCCAAUCCAAUUAGGUUUUGGAAUCCUAAAUUGGAUUGGUCAUUGUCUUUUAUCUCUUCUUUAAUUGUGAAUAAAUCUUCUUCUUGAGGAGGUCUAUCUUGAGAGUGACUCUUUGAGAUGCCCUAGGAUUGAUCUUGAAAUGUUUGAGAGGGGUUAGGACUUCUUUAUUUUAAAUCUUGAAUUU